rnacentral:lncRNA from 1 species
CAAAGUUGGCUAUAAAAAGGAGCGAGGGAGUGGUGUGAGGUGUAAGCUAAUAAGAGUUCCUGAGAGGGUCCGUAGAUCAAUGAUGGGUGCAUUGGGAGAGAGGAAGGCGUUCAUGGCCUGCCGCUUCUUCUCACUUGCCAUUGUGCUCAUCUCUCUAAGUUUGCCCCUUCAAGCACAAGCAUUCCACCACGACCAUCCUCCCAAGGAGCACCAUCAUCACCACCCUUAUCCACACAACUCACCACCACCACCUCCUUCGCCUCCUUACCACUAUAAAUCACCACCACCACGUACCCACCACCACAAGCCUCAUUUGCUUCCACCUCCUUACCACCAUAUAUCACCACCACCACCUCCACCUACCCACCACCACGGGCCUCCAUUGCUUCCACCUCCUCCUCCUACAUAUCAUCACAAAUCACCACCUUCAUCUCCUCCGGUUUACACGUCGCCACCACCUUCAUCUCCUCCAGUUUACAAGCCGCCACCACCUCCACCUACCCACCACUACAAGCCACCAUUGCUUCCACCACCACCACCUCCUCCUCCAUAUCAUCACAAAUCACCACCUUCGUCUCCUCCAGUUNNNNNNNNNNNNNNNNNNNNCACCUCCACCUACCCACCACUACAAGCCACCACUUGCUUCCACCACCACCACCUCCUCCUCCAUAUCAUCACAAAUCACCACCUUCGUCUCCUCCAGUUUACAACCCGCCACUACCUCCACCUACCCACCACUACAAGCCACCAUUGCUUCCACCACCACGUCCUCCUCCUCCAUAUCAUCACAAAUCACCUCCUUCAUCUCCUCCAGUUCACAACUCGCCACCACCUCAUACCUACAAAAAGAAAACACCACCUCCGUCUCACCACAAGCCACCACUCCCUCCAUCCCAUAUAUACGCUUCACCUCCUCCUCCUCCUCGUUACCACUAGAGCCGGUGGCCG